GAGGGGAAACACCCGUUCCCAUCCCGAACACGGAAGUUAAGCCCUCCAGCGCCGAUGGUAGUUGGGGCCAGCGCCCCUGCAAGAGUAGGUCGCUGCUAGGC
rnacentral:rRNA from 1 species